rnacentral:rRNA from 1 species
CUUGCGGUUGACGGUCGUUCCCCGAAAGGCAUCGCCACGCAUGAUCGUUUCCCACAGCUCACGGUAGAACUCGGGACGCUGCAGGCCGGACUUCAGGAUCCUCGGAUUCUUGCCGAUCGCCUCCUCGGCGGAGUAUCCGGUUGAGGCUUCGAAGGCCGGGUUGACAUACUCGAUCGUGCCAGCCCGGU